UACGGAGGGUGCAAGCGUUGUUCGGAUUUAUUGGGCGUAAAGCGCGUGUAGGCGGUCUGUUAAGUCUGAUGUGAAAGCCCCGGGCCUCAACCCGGGAAGGUGCAUUGGAUACUGGAAGACUUGAAUACGGGAGAGGGUAGUGGAAUUCCUAGUGUAGGAGUGAAAUCCGUAGAUAUUAGGAGGAACACCGGUGGCGAAGGCGGCUACCUGGACCGAUAUUGACGCUGAGACGCGAAAGCGUGGGGAGCAAACAGG
rnacentral:rRNA from 1 species